GACCCAAUGGCACAGUGGUUAGUGCGCCUGUGUGCUGUUCGAUGUAGAACAAGUGAGGCAGGAGGCCUGCGUUCGAUCCGCGGUUGGUUCA